UACGUAGGGUGCAAGCGUUGUCCGGAAUUAUUGGGCGUAAAGAGCUUGUAGGCGGUUUGUCGCGUCUGCUGUGAAAUUUCGGGGCUCAACCCCGAACUUGCAGUGGGUACGGGCAGGCUAGAGUGUGGUAGGGGAGACUGGAAUUCCUGGUGUAGCGGUGAAAUGCGCAGAUAUCAGGAGGAACACCGGUGGCGAAGGCGGGUCUCUGGGCAACACUGACGCUGAUGAGCGAAAGCCAGGGGAGCAAACGGG
rnacentral:rRNA from 1 species